AUUGAACGCUGGCGGCAGGCCUAACACAUGCAAGUCGAGCGGCAGCGGAAAGUAGCUUGCUACUUUGCCGGCGAGCGGCGGACGGGUGAGUAAUGUCUGGGAAUCUGCCUGAUGGAGGGGGAUAACUACUGGAAACGGUAGCUAAUACCGCAUAAUGUCGCAAGACCAAAGAGGGGGACCUUCGGGCCUCUUGCCAUCAGAUGUGCCCAGAUGGGAUUAGCUAGUAGGUGGGGUAACGGCUCACCUAGGCGACGAUCCCUAGCUGGUCUGAGAGGAUGACCAGCCACACUGGAACUGAGACACGGUCCAGACUCCUACGGGAGGCAGCAGUGGGGAAUAUUGCACAAUGGGCGCAAGCCUGAUGCAGCCAUGCCGCGUGUAUGAAGAAGGCCUUCGGGUUGUAAAGUACUUUCAGCGGGGAGGAAGGUGUUGAGGUUAAUAACCUCAGCAAUUGACGUUACCCGCAGAAGAAGCACCGGCUAACUCCGUGCCAGCCGCCGCAGUAAAAC
rnacentral:rRNA from 1 species